GGGAGCAAUCCCAUGUAGUACAGUGGCGUACGGGUGNAGUAACACGUGACUAACCUACCCUUUAGUGGGGCAUAACUUCGGGAAACCGAGGCUAAUACCGCAUAACAUCUACGGAUCAAAUGCAGUAAGCAGCUUGAGGAGGGGGUCGCGGCUGAUUAGCUAGUUGGCGGGGUAACGGCCCACCAAGGCAAUGAUCAGUAGCCGGCCUGAGAGGGCGCACGGCCACACUGGNAACUGAAACACGGUCCAGACUCCUACGGGAGGCAGCAGUGGGGAAUUUUGCGCAAUGGGGAAACCCUGACGCAACAACGCCGCGUGG
rnacentral:rRNA from 1 species